rnacentral:misc_RNA from 1 species
AACGCACAUUGCACUCUCCUGGUCUUCAGGGGAGUAUACUUGUUUGAGCAAUCCUAACUUUCUCGUACAGGCACUUGCUUGCCUGGGCGGAGCUGAGGAGUCAGCAGGCGACGCGUGCACGUCACUGAUGUGCCCGUGUUCAGCGGCUGCUCCUUGAAAGACAGGAUGCGUGUUGUCGCGAGCCGACGCUGGCUUUAACAGCAGCGUGCCGGUGGUGAGAUAGAGACGACGUGUUCGUUACCACUUUGCUCUGGCGCGGUGCUGGUUGGCGCACGGCUGCCGCGGUCGACACACAUACACACCGAAUCAGUCCAUGCACGGCUUCGUGCGUGGUCCUUUCCAUUUCUCAAAUCAAGUAAGACUACCCGCUGAACUUAA